CUGCAGUGUCUGUUUUUCUAGCAAUUCAAGUCACUCUCGCUCUCGAAUUUCGUCACUGCACUCUGAGUUUGGAUCUUUGAGCUCUUCCUCCAAAGCUAAUCCCUCGCGCUUUCCCCUACAAGAACAGCAUCUCCAGAGAAAACAGUCCAAGGAAAAUUUGGAUAGGUUUAUUCCGAAUCGAUCGGCUAUGGAUUUCGAUUAGGCGCAUUACACAGUGACUGAUGGGGGAGGAAAGAUAAGAAAAUCCUUCUCUUAGUUCUCCGUCUAGGGAGGCUUAUCGAAAGCGAUUGGCUGAAUCAUUAAACUUGAAUCGAACAAGAAUCCUUGUGUUCAAGAACAAACCUCCUGCACCAGUUAAGUUGAUACCUAAGGAGUCCUACGCUUCCGUUUCUCGUGAUAAACCUGUCAAGCCCCUUCGCCAUAUCCCUCAGACCUCUAAAAGGACUUUGGAUGCUCCUGAUCUUGUUGAUGAUUACUACUUGAACUUGUUGGAUUGGGGCAGUGGUAAUGUGCUUGCUAUUGCUCUCGGUAUUACUGUGUGUGGAAGGUGAAAUUGAACCCAGAUAGCCAAUUGAGUUAAUAAGGUGAACUAGGAUAGCCAACCAAGCUUGACGGGCAAUCCAAAUAUGAAAGUCAAGCUAAUAGACUUUCAAAUGAUAUAGGCAUAAAUAAGAGAUAUAAUAUAUAUAUAUAUAUAUAUUAAAGAAAAUAAAAAAAAUGAAAUAAAAAAUGAAAUGAGGGAGGGGAGGCAGUCGGGCUGCCCACCUCCUCAAGCGGCAAGGCCAGCCCUAGAGGGCUGGCAGCUAUAAAAGUCCGGCUAGCAAGUAAAUGGGGGAGGCCUGCCAAUUUCUCCCUCAUUCCAUUUAACGUCCAGCCAAAGUGGGCUGGCAGUUGGCCUUAGGCCAUGAGGCCAGCUCAAAAAUAAUAAUAAUAUAAUAAAUAUAUUUUUAUAUGGGCAACCACGUCAUAGCCCAUUUUUACCCUCAAUUGGGCUAGCCCAAUUGAAAUAAGGAAUUUUGCAUGGAAUUUUAGCCAUGCAUCAUUAGUCUUUCAAGAGAAAAUGCAUGGAAAUCUCAUAGUUAAUUUAAAGACUAGUCAUUAGCUAUUUUCCGUUUUAUAUAAUCAAAUUAUUUAUUGAAGUAAUUGAUUAAAGAGAUAUAAUGGCAAUGAAUUUUAUAAUUGGAGAAUCAAGCGUCAUGGUUCUACCCAAGAGUCUAGCUCCUUAAAGGUUGAGAUAUGUAGCGGCCCAAGCAAUGAUGAUUUAGAUGAAAAACGGACUAAUUAAUGAUUGGUGAUAGCUUGGAAGGACAAGUUAAGUUCAGUUAUUGAUUGAAUGAGCUAUAUAAUUCAGGGGGUCAUCAAAGAGAGGUAUUCCUUUUAACUCAUACUAAUUUUUACGACUCAAAUUCAAACCCGAUUCUAACUUGAGCGUCGGAGUGGAUUUUGGUUCAACACCACACUAGUGUUAGCUUUACUCACCUUUUUUUGCAGGAUAUCCAAUUAUUCUUCUCCAAAUAAAAAUUUAUUAUUGGUGCAAUUUUCGGUAUCAACAGUUGAUGUCGUCUGUGGGGAGAAUGACAAGAUCCUUUAGCCUUACCACCAUAUUCUGUGUUCGAACCAUCAGCAACAAUGUGAAUAGAGAGAAUCUUCCAAUCAACAGUUGAUGUCGUCACCUGAUGCUUGGUUUUAUGAAAUGGAAAUAUGGAUGAUAUGCGUUGAUGGAAUUGCGUUGUGCACUCAAGUUUCCCCAGUGGAAUCCAAGUGUAAAUUCCUCUGAGUUUCCUGGUAAGUCCAAGGUCGAACACAGGGACUUGUGAAAAUAGAUUGCGUUGGUAAUUUUUAUAAAGACUUUGCGGUAACCGGAUAAAUAAAUAAGGUGUUGGGUUUGUUGUUUACGUUGAUGAAAAAGAAUAAACAAUUGCAGAGGAGUUGAGAAAAGACAGUUGCGUUGAUAGAUGUAAUGAGUAUGCGGUGAACGGGUUGAGAAGAUCUUUAGUUAGCGUUACUUGGGAAUGUGUCAGACUAUGCGAUCAUGUUACAACCAUGCACAACAAGUUAUUUUCCAAUGUAAAUGCGAUGCGCCUAAAUCUCAGACGCAUAUGUUGAAUGCAAAAUGUCCAUAUAGCUCAUCCCUAAGUCUCUACUCUUGUCCUAUGCGAUGAUGCAAAAUGCAUAAAAACAAGGUGACCGCAUACAAUCAUAUCCUACCUCUAGGAUGC